CUCGACUUCGUUCUCCCACCGCGGUUCGCUAAUAUUUCUUCUUCUCUUUACAUUUUCAUUUGACUACUUUGCUAUUUUAAAGCAUAUUUAUUUUCCAAUCGAAUAAUUAUUUUCAUGACAAUAUUCUCAACCUCUCUAUAAUAUAAUAUAAUAUAAUAAUGGCUGUGUGGUAAAAAUAAAACUUGCUUUCCAACCACACGGUUCCGGGUUCGGUCCCACCACCUGGCACCUCGGGUAAGCAUCGUCUACUUAUUGUUUCGGGGCCUUGUGAGUGGAUUUUUAUAGACGGAAACUGAAAGAAGAGCGUUGUGUGGGUUCUACUUAAGAAGAGUGGUCCCGGUGCGCGCGCAUCCGCGCGGCUAUCGACUAGUCGAUCCUUACUUUGUGUUGGCAACGUUUCCUUUGUGUUUUUGUGUUUUAUUUACUUUGCUAGGUAGUCAUUGUAGGAUCGACUACUUACGACUAGCUUGCGCGGAUGCGCGCACCGGGACCACUGUUCGCUAGUAGUACCAUAUAUAUAUAUAUAUUGUACCAUAACUGCCAAGUCUGUUUCUUUACAUUUGUAGAAGAUCAUCACUUUCCGAAAAGGUUUUUUUUUUAUAUAUGUUGGGUUACGGUUAGGGGUGAGGGGGAAAAGGGUUUCUUUUUUUUCUUCAGAAAUGUAAACAAACCCACGUGGGUUUAUAAUUGGCAGUUAUGGUACUUGUACCGAAAAAUCGCCCAAUUUUGUCUAUAUAUACCCUAUAGUAUAUAUAUCAUUUCUCUUUGUUUCAGAAUGCCUGAUGACAUUGGAGUUAAGGAAUAUACCUAUUUCUUUAUUACCCACAAGGGGACAAACAAGGACAGACAUAGGUAUUAAGUCGAUUACAUCGACCCCAGUGCUUAACUGGUACUUAAUUU
rnacentral:lncRNA from 1 species